AAAUGAUGAUCCAAAACGGUUAGGCACUCGGUUAUUUAUAGUAGAACUGUAACUGAUUCAGUUAUAACCAGUUAGAUUGAACUUAGUGAGUUCUAACUGUUAACUCACUGAGUGGAUGAUUCCCUUCUUUAAUGGAUUGUCAAUUGGCUAAACGAAAUGUUAAUGUUGUGACUCGCCACAACAAGUGAAAAUGAAUGGGCCUCAUGGAGUUGCUUGCAUUAGGGAAACUUACUGAACAGUUGCCUUGACCAUAACUCUUUUAGAUUUUCAAUGAUUGUUAACUGUUAGGAAAUGUUUUGUUGAUUGAAAAUUGGUUAGAUGCUAGCCAUAUCACUUCUGCCCUGCUAAAUUAUUAUUAGUUUCAAAAUGCCAGAUUAAAUCUGUUAGUACAGUUAGUGCUACCUGAGAUGAUUUAUAUGAACAAGCUCAAAUGAAUAUUAGUUAGGAUGCCUGGUUGUUAAGCGAUGAUGGUUGACAUGAUUGUGGAUAGAAUGUGAUGCAUUGUUGUGGGAAAGUAAAGCUUCUAGUAAACAGUUAGAGUGCAAACUGUUAGUGGAUGUUAGUGUUUGGAAACAUCGAUUGAAGAUUGAAAAUGGCCAAAUGUUGAACUCAGUACCGUAUGUUACUUGAUAUACCAUGACAUUUAGUAUAUUUCAAAACCAAAUUGGACUGCUUAUGGAAUGGUAAAUUAUUAGAAGUGGUAGGUUAACUGUUAAUGAAUUUGUGAAUAUGUUUGAAAAUGUUAGAUGGUGUUAGUUAUUUCCAUUAGGGUGUUGAAUAGUUAAUGUAAAGGUUAGAGCAGUUGGUUUCAUAAAUGCAGUGUCAAUGUUGUUUUGCUGCUACAUGAUGGCUGCUGAUUAUAUGCUAAGUAUGGUGUAUGAAGGUUGCUUGCACUGCCUGCUAUUUGCUGCGAUCUGCUAUGCAUGAUGCUUGGUCUAUUAGUUUGUUCAGUUGUGAAAUCAUUUGUACAUGGUAUGCGGCUAAUGAUUGGAUGCUUAAUGUGUAUGAAACUUGUUGCAGGUUUUCAUCUACAAUGUGAUGCGUUGGUUUGCAAUCUCAUGGUGUUGUUUUGGUUGCUUGAUGUUUGAAUUGUUUUGGUGAUGGUGCUUAUGCUUUGAUUGUUGAUGAUUGUGAGUUAUAGGGCAGGAAUAUCAUCAUGACUUCAAGGCAAGGCUCUAUGCAAAUUUACAAGGUAUGGCAAAUGCAUUCAAGGCAUGGCCAAAAAAUCAAAAUGUUGCAAAAAUGGUGUCUCUUGUUCAUGAAGAAAAUGAUCUUGGGAUCUCUUGGCAUGCAAGGAUGAAGAUAUAAUUAGCAUUCGGGUUUAAGUCAUGAAGAAAAUAGGUUGGUUGACUUUUGUCAACUUGUUGACCAAAAAAUCAAUAGUUGACCAAAAGUCAACGUAUGUAACAUUUGUAUUUUUUUUUUGUAAUUUCCUUUAUAUGGAUAAUGUAAAUGACAAUUAUAACAAUUAUAUGAAUGAAUGUACAAUGUUUUGAA
rnacentral:lncRNA from 1 species